GUUGAAACACCGGUUCUCGUACGAUCACCGAAGUUAAGCAACGUCGAUCUUGUCAGUACCUAACUGAGUCACCGCUUGUGAAUACCAGGUGCUGUAAGC